rnacentral:rRNA from 1 species
CGCGUAGGAAUCUACCCAGUAGAGGGGGAUAGCCCGGGGAAACCCGGAUUAAUACCGCAUAAUCUCUAAGGAGAAAAGGGGGACCUUCGGCUCUCGCUAUUGGAUGAGCCUGCGUGGGAUUAGCUAGUUGGUGAGGUAAAGGCUCACCAAGGCGACGAUCUCUAGCUGGUCUGAGAGGAUGAUCAGUCACACUGGAACUGAGACACGGUCCAGACUCCUACGGGAGGCAGCAGUGGGGAAUAUUGCACAAUGGGCGCAAGCCUGAUGCAGCCAUGCCGCGUGUGUGAAGAAGGCCUUCGG